rnacentral:rRNA from 1 species
GAACCUUACCAGCUCUUGACAUGUCACGUAUGAAUUCCGGAGACGGAUUUCUUCAGUUCGGCUGGCGUGAACACAGGUGCUGCAUGGCUGUCGUCAGCUCGUGUCGUGAGAUGUUGGGUUAAGUCCCGCAACGAGCGCAACCCUCGCCUCUAGUUGCCAUCAUUAAGUUGGGCACUCUAGAGGGACUGCCGGUGAUAAGCCGAGAGGAAGGUGGGGAUGACGUCAAGUCCUCAUGGCCCUUACGGGCUGGGCUACACACGUGCUACAAUGGCGGUGACAGUGGGCAGCUACUUCGCGAGGAGAAGCUAAUCCCAAAAAGCCGUCUCAGUUCGGAUUGCACUCUGCAACUCGAGUGCAUGAAGUUGGAAUCGCUAGUAAUCGUGGAUCAGCAUGCCACGGUGAAUACGUUCCCGGGCCUUGUACGCACCGCCCGUCACACCAUGGGAGUUGGUUUUACCCGAAGGCGCUGCGCUAACCCGCAAGGGAGGCAGGCGACCG